AAACCAACAGGGAUUGCCUCAGUAACGGCGAGUGAAGCGGCAACAGCUCAAAUUUGAAAUCUGGCCCCAGGCCCGAGUUGUAAUUUGCAGAGGAUGCUUUUGGUGCGGUGCCUUCCAAGUUCCCUAGAACGGGACGCCAGAGAGGGUGAGAGCCCCGUACAGUUGGACACCAAGCCUUUGUAAAGCUCCUUCGACGAGUCGAGUAGUUUGGGAAUGCUGCUCAAAAUGGGAGGUAUAUUUCUUCUAAAGCUAAAUACCGGCCAGAGACCGAUAGCGCACAAGUAGAGUGAUCGAAAGAUGAAAAGCACUUUGAAAAGAGGGUUAAACAGCACGUGAAAUUGUUAAAAGGGAAGCGCUUGUGACCAGACUUGCGUCCGGUGAAUCACCCAGCUCUCGCGGCUGGGGCACUUCGCCGGCUCAGGCCAGCAUCAGCUCGCUGUCGGGGACAAAAGCUUCAGGAACGUAGCUCUCUUCGGGGAGUGUUAUAGCCUGUUGCACAAUACCCUUCGGCGGGCUGAGGUACGCGCUCCGCAAGGAUGCUGGCAUAAUGGUCAUCAGCGAC
rnacentral:rRNA from 1 species